GGGCAGAUAACGCAUGCCGGUGCAUGCUGCGGACUUCAAAUCCGUAGACCGCGAGAGCGGUAGAGGUUCGACUCCUCUUUCAGCCCG